rnacentral:sRNA from 1 species
UUGCUAUCUGCGAUAUGGAAGAUUCGAACCUGCCGCAGGUUCGGGUCUCACGUAGUGAGACAACGGAGCCGCUUGCGGCGACGGCCUGAAGGGCGAGCAAAGCGAGUCAUCCUGCACGACCCACCA